AUGGGUGCCACGCCUCCGUCCUCUAGCUCCAGCAUGACGAAGUGUAUGGCGGGCGUCCUUCUUGCGAGCUCCCUGUCACGAUCCUUGCGGCGUUGGGUUGAUGAUGUUGACAUUGACGUCAUCUUGGCUAACUCCAUGGCGCCAUCCACCGUGGCACGUCGGCGGCAUCCUCGCGGGCCUCCACGCCUUUUCGUCCUCCGUGGCGCCGGCUUGAUGAAGUUGACACUGGCGUCGUCUUGGCGAACUCCGUGGUGCCAUCCAUCGCGGCACGGCGGCGAAAUCCUUGCGAGCCUCCACGCCUUCGUCCUCCAUGGCUCCAGCUUGAUGAAGAAGACGAUGGGCAUCGUCCUGGCCAGCUCUGUGUCGCGAUCCACCGCGACACGAUAG
rnacentral:rRNA from 1 species